rnacentral:misc_RNA from 1 species
CCAAGCGAGUAGCAGCACCGAGCAGGGCGACGCAAGGAAGCGCGGAUUAGCCAGAAGCAAGCACGGGAGCUCCCCAGCCCCGCGUCUCCGAAAGCAAGGAAGCCACCACAAGAAUUACGGCCGGCGAAAAACCCACCAACCGAGCCCACCUCCGCGCCUCCUCGAUCCGAGCGAGCCCGUGGAGGAAUCCGGCGAUCCGGGCCUCGGCCCUCGGGAGCAGCGCAAACGUCCCUCCUCCGGCGCCGAGGUGGCGCCGCCGGGCCGUGCCGGGGCUCCGCACUCCCGCGAGGACGACUCCGCUGGAAGCCUGGAACUUCCCUCGCGAGCCGCGGCGAGCAGGA